CCCCCCCCGAGUUGAGCACCUGCCCCAUGAACAGUUGCGGCCCAGCCUUGAUCCUCAGGACUGACACGGCCACAAGCACAAUUUGGGCCCUUUGUGCUCAGUGACCAACAGAUGUCGGCCUGGGAAAGCUUUUCCACUCAUAAAGCACAUAAUGUCAAGGUUUAUUCUUCCACAUUACAAAAGGCCUGGACUUCAUCAGCACGUCUCCUGAGGCAGGGUAGGCUGUCUUCCUGCAGAUGGGGCAGCAUGCUGUGUCCUUCCCUCUGUGAUGUUUACCCACGCAGACAGAGGAUUACUGCAUCCCAGGGAAACCAAAUCAAAUCACGCUUGUAAGACCAUAGCAGCUCUGUCCUUUUUGAGGUUUUGCUCUUGGUAUGAGUUGCACAUUAGCUGAAGUUAUCCGAAGCGACUGAAGGACGUUACCUUUCUCAGCUCCAUAACUACUACUGUACAUGGCUAGCAAAUCACAGACUCAUCCGGAUUUGCUUACAACUGAGCUCAGCCAAGGAAGCCACAGCUGUCUGUGAGAUCUUGAAGAUUUUUUUCUCUUCUCUCCAUAAUCAUGUUGAUAACCAACCAGCAGGUGCCCAACUGACAGUGCACUCCGAGCGUUUCUGUGACAUGCUGCAGGAUGAAAUUCAGCAUACUGUUUGCUCCAAAACUAUUAUAUGGAUGUAGGAUACCAAAUGCUAGAGAUAAAAUCAUCUUUUCUGAACUUGAAAAAAAUGUGAGAAAUUUCUAAAUGGCCAUUUCUGAAAACGACUAUUAUUUAAUUCGGUCAUAUAAAAAUAUUCCUGCACUUAUACACAUGUAAAUAUGAUAAACCUAUUUGUGCAUGAGAUAUUUGCCCCGUUUGCCAUUACUGGACAUAGACUGUGCAGCAUUUCCGUUUUCCAAACCCAUUAGUCCAAUUUUCAAGACUAUUGUACUUGAAAAAUACACUUUGACGGCAGAACAACUGGUGUGAGGGAAGCAGACAGAGGCAGCAAUGCGAUGACAGUAAUGACGAUGACGCUGUGAACAAUGGUGGUGGCCAUCCUGCGGACAAACAGCUGGCUUCAUUCCUACUUCUGAUUUAUCAGCCUCCAUGCAUUCAAAAAUUCAGACAAACUCGGAAUAUGCACACUUUACAAGGCUGCCGUGAGAAUCCGUGACAACGAGAACCAAGACAAUUCUGUUCAGAGUAUCUAGAAGACCAAUUUUUUGAAGUGGCAAGGGGAUGAGGCAAUACUCAAAGCUGGAGAUUAAAAAUCUAUUCCGGGCUUGUGCACAAACUGUGAAAUGGAAAGAGAGAGGGGGCUUGGGCAUGACAAUGCAGAAUUUUCUACUGAAAUGACAUAAUUCCACAGAUCUCAUAAACGAGGCGUACAGGGUAACCGCACGGAGCGCAGGGAGCUGGUCUGGAGGAGAGGAUUUGGAAUAAGAUUCAAAUCAUUAUCGCGUUGCACCAGGUAGGAGGGCAGCGAGAAAGGGGACAGGGCUGGGAUUUUGUUCAAGGGGCCCGUGUUCUGUGUAAAGACUGAGGGAAUGAACAAGCAGAGCGCUUCCACCAUAGCAGAGCUCCAGCACCUCCCUGUCUGCGAGGCUCAUCCUGACACACGCCCCUGGACCUACUCUUCUAACAUGAGUUCCAGAAACUGAAGUAAAACACCUCAGCAUGAUACUGGGCACUGCAUUAUACACUUUAGCUCGACCCGAUGCAAUAAAAUGUAAGGGCAGCUAACGAGAGCAUCCUCCUCAUCCUCACCAUGCUUGUUAGUCCUUUGCCAUUUGUGUGUGCGGGGACACCGGAGAGUUCCGCGAGAACCUGGCAUUUUGAUCCUUCCCUUCUAAUUACAGGAGCUCAAAUUCAGCUGUGCAGUGUUCAUCAAACACGAUGCACUUAGCCAACAGAAUCGAUUUUUUUAAUGGCAGGCAUUACUGUUUGUAAAAUAAAACCUAAAAGUAACUGCUGCCAUUUGAAAGUGAGACUGAGAGACGUACCGACGACUCCUCUCCGACUUACAGGAAAACGUCAAACAUUAAAUCAGGAGAACAUGCUUUGUUCCACACAGGUGAGGAAAGUAAUGAGAAGCAUAAAUGGCAGCUGUAACUAUGGUGACGGA